AUUGAACGCUGGCGGCAGGCCUAACACAUGCAAGUCGAGCGAGCGGCGGACGGGUGAGUAAUGUCUGGGAAACUGCCGGCUGGAGGGGGAAACAUACUGGAGACGGUAGCUACUACCGCAUACCAUCAGAUGUGCCCAGAUGGGAUUAGCGAGUAGGUGGGGUAACGGCUCACCUAGGCGCCGCUCCCUAGCUGGUCUGAGAGGAUGACCAGCCACACUGGAACUGAGACACGGUCCAGACUCCUACGGGAGGCAGCAGUGGGGAUGAGUGCACAAUGGGCGCAAGCCUGAUGCAGCCAUGCCGCGUGUGUGAAGAAGGCCUUCGGGUGGUAAAGCACUUUCAGCGGGGAGGCGUUACCCGCAGAAGAAGCACCGGCUAACUCCGUGCCAGCAGCCGCGGUAAUAC
rnacentral:rRNA from 1 species